AUGCGUCGUAGGUACUCUGUUUUCAGAGAAUAAUGGGGAAUGCAGUGAGAAUCUGCAACAGCCAACUCUACUGUAAGAAGGAGCGCUUAUUCAUAUCCAUUGGGCUUUCAGCCUGAGAAGGGGAUAAGUGCGUUGAAUUUAAGUCAGGAGACCCGCCUAGGAUG
rnacentral:ncRNA from 1 species